rnacentral:tRNA from 1 species
GAGGGUAUAGCUCAGUGGUAGAGCAUAUACUUCGCAUGCCUGAGGUCCUGGGUUCAAUCCCCAGUGCCUCCA